GACGAACGCUGGCGGCGUGCCUAAUACAUGCAAGUAGGACGCACAGUCUAUACCGUAGCUUGCUACACCAUAGACUGUGAGUUGCGAACGGGUGAGUAACGCGUAGGUAACCUGCCUAUUAGAGGGGGAUAACUAUUGGAAACGAUAGCUAAUACCGCAUAACAGUAUGUAACACAUGUUAGAUGCUUGAAAGAUGCAAUUGCAUCGCUAGUAGAUGGACCUGCGUUGUAUUAGCUAGUAGGUAGGGUAAUGGCCUACCUAGGCGACGAUACAUAGCCGACCUGAGAGGGUGAUCGGCCACACUGGGACUGAGACACGGCCCAGACUCCUACGGGAGGCAGCAGUAGGGAAUCUUCGGCAAUGGGGGGAACCCUGACCGAGCAACGCCGCGUGAGUGAAGAAGGUUUUCGGAUCGUAAAGCUCUGUUGUUAAGGAAGAACGAGUGUGAGAAUGGAAAGUUCAUACUGUGACGGUACUUAACCAGAAAGGGACGGCUAACUACGUGCCAGCAGCCGCGGUAAUACGUAGGUCCCGAGCGUUGUCCGGAUUUAUUGGGCGUAAAGCGAGCGCAGGCGGUUAGAAAAGUCUGAAGUGAAAGGCAGUGGCUCAACCAUUGUAGGCUUUGGAAACUGUUUAACUUGAGUGCAGAAGGGGAGAGUGGAAUUCCAUGUGUAGCGGUGAAAUGCGUAGAUAUAUGGAGGAACACCGGUGGCGAAAGCGGCUCUCUGGUCUAUAACUGACGCUGAGGCUCGAAAGCGUGGGGAGCGAACAGG
rnacentral:rRNA from 1 species